UACGAAGGUCCCAAGCAUUAUCCGGAUUUAUUGGGUUUAAAGGGUGCGUAGGCGGGUUAUUAAGUCAGUGGUGAAAGCCUUCAGCUCAACUGAAGAACUGCCAUUGAUACUGAUGAUCUUGAGUACGAUUGAGUAGGCGGAAUGUGUCAUGUAGCGGUGAAAUGCUUAGAUAUGACACAGAACACCGAUUGCGAAGGCAGCUUACUAAGUCGUAACUGACGCUGAUGCACGAAAGCGUGGGGAGCAAACAGG
rnacentral:rRNA from 1 species